UCCGUAGGUGAACCUGCGGAAGGAUCAUUACAGAAUAAAUGUGAUAAGUUGUUGCUGGCCUAAUUCCUUUGGGCAUGUGCACACUUGUCAUUUUUAUCUUUCCACCAAGUGCACUCAGCAUAGGUCUGAAUAAUUGAAUCAAAGUCACCUUUGAUUCUUGGAAACUGCUGUUGAACAAAUGGCUUUUUUUGACUUCAGUUCCUAUGAUUUAUAUACACAUACACCCAUGCAUGUUAAAGAACGUUAUACAAGGCUUUCAUUAGCCUGAUAUUAUAUUAAUACAACUUUCAGCAACGGAUCUCUUGGCUCUCGCAUCGAUGAAGAACGCAGCGAAAUGCGAUAAGUAAUGUGAAUUGCAGAAUUCAGUGAAUCAUCGAAUCUUUGAACGCACCUUGCGCUCCUUGGUACUCCGAGGAGCAUGCCUGUUUGAGUGUCAUUAAAUUCUCAAUCUCUUCAACUCUUGUGUUGUUAGCAGAUUGGAGGUGGGGGUUUUGUGGGUUUAUCCAAUAGAUCUGCUCCCCUGAAAACUAUUAGCUGGGGAAUGGCCUUUGGCAAACCCAACUAUCAGGUAUGGAUAAUUAUCUAUGGCUGAUGUUGGUUGGCAAAAGGGGGGUAUCUGGCUUUCAAACUGGUCACUUUUGACACUGAAUCAAUUUGACCUCAAAUCAGGUAGGACUACCCGCUGAACUUAAGCAUAU
rnacentral:rRNA from 1 species